UGUCUCUUCAGCCAAGGAAGAUCAAUGUUCAUCAAGUGAUUUGCAGGUGUGCCAGCCACAGUCAGCCAAACCACAGUGCUCUGGGAUUCAAACAGCACUAAGGAGCCAACCUGCAGGGUGCCACAGCAUCUGCAGCUGCCUCAGUCUGGGAGAAGAAAUUCUGCAAAUCCACUCUGAACUCAGGAAAGGGAGGUUCUACCAAGCCUUCUGAGCUGAGGGAAAAUACAAAAGGCUCCCCUUUGCAAUUGUGCCUGAUCGAGCAUUACCAGGAAAUGCAGAAAUGUGGAGCCAGACUGGUACAGUACUAGCUAAGCUUUUUACAGACUGAAGAUCUUUCUGCAAGUGGGUCUCAGCACCAUCAGCUGGUACUGCUUAAAGAGAUACGAUGGCUUUUCUCUGGGAAUGGUGAGUGCAUUCACCAAAAAGCACCACAGAGGAACUGGAGCCUUGGCAGGACCAGGAAGGUGCCCAGAGCAGCUCUGCAAGGAAAGUGAGUGCCUUCACUCCUCUGUCAUCACCAGUCCCUGAGAGCCAUCACCACCCACCAAGAGUUCCUUGAGAUAAGGCUGAGCCAGCUGGGAGAAUAAAGCCUUUGAUAUUC